AUUUCUUGCGUCCACUUCGCUCCGAACUUCUCAAAACUCCUCUAAACACCUUUUAAACUCACUAAUAACUAUCCCCAACCAUCCAAAUUAAUUUGGGAAUACCACAAUUUACAUUCAUUCCCUACUUUGCUCAACUUGAUCAACAUUAACCUUAUAGUCCGAAGAUUUCCUUUCGAAUUCGUUUCGCGCCCAAAUUGCGCCUAAACAAUCAAUUAUCUCUAGAAUUCAUUCCUACACCUCC
rnacentral:lncRNA from 1 species